GAUGAAGAACGCAGCGAAAUGCGAUAAGUAAUGUGAAUUGCAGAAUUCAGUGAAUCAUCGAAUCAUUGAACGCACAUUGCGCCCGCCAGUAUUCUGGCGGGCAUGCCUGUCUGAGCGUCAUUUCAACCCUCAUGCCCCUAGGGCGUGGUGUUGGGGAUCGGCCAAAGCCCGCGAGGGACGGCCGGCCCCUAAAUCUAGUGGCGGACCCGUCGUGGCCUCCUCUGCGAAGUAGUGAUAUUCCGCAUCGGAGAGCGACGAGCCCCUGCCGUUAAACCCCCAACUUUCCAAGGUUGACCUCAGAUCAGGUAGGAAUACCCGCUGAACUUAAGCAUAUCAAUAAGCGGAGGA
rnacentral:misc_RNA from 1 species